rnacentral:rRNA from 1 species
GUAAGGAAUAUUGGUCAAUGGGCGCAAGCCUGAACCAGCCAUGCCGCGUGCAGGAAGACGGCCCUAUGGGUUGUAAACUGCUUUUGUACCGGAAUAAACCCCCAGACGUGUCUGGGGCUGAAUGUACGGUAAGAAUAAGGAUCGGCUAACUCCGUGCCAGCAGCCGCGGUAAUACGGAGGAUCCAAGCGUUAUCCGGAUUUAUUGGGUUUAAAGGGUGCGUAGGCGGCCAAUUAAGUCAGGGGUGAAAGACGGUAGCUUAACUAUCGCAGUGCCUUUGAUACUGAUUGGCUUGAAUCCACUUGAGGUAGGCGGAAUGUGACAAGUAGCGGUGAAAUGCAUAGAUAUGUCACAGAACACCAAUUGCGAAGGCAGCUUACUAAAGUGGCAUUGACGCUGAGGCACGAAAGCGUGGGGAUCAAACAGGAUUAGAUACCCGAGUAGUCC